GAUGAACGCUAGCGGCAGGCUUAACACAUGCAAGUCGAGGGGUAGAGGCUUUCGGGCCUUGAGACCGGCGCACGGGUGCGUAACGCGUAUGCAAUCUGCCAUGUACUGGGGGAUAGCCCAGAGAAAUGUGGAUUAAUACCACAUAAGACAGUAACUAGGCAUCUAGUAGCUGUUAAAGAUUUAUCGAUGUAAGCUGGGCAUGCGUCCAAUUAGUUAGUUGGCGAGGUAAUGGCUUACAAAGACGAUGAUUGGUAGGGGAAGUGAGAGGUCAAUCCCCCACACUGGCACUGAGAUACGGGCCAGAAUCCUACGGGAGGCAGCAGUAGGGAAUAUUGGGCAAUGGGCGCAAGCCUGACCCAUCCAUGCCGCGUGCAGGAAGAAGGCGUUAUGCGUUGUAAACUGCUUUUAUACAGGAAGAAACGACCCUUGCGAGGGGCAUUGACGGUACUGUAUGAAUAAGCACCGGCUAACUCCGUGCCAGCAGCCGCGGUAAUAC
rnacentral:rRNA from 1 species